rnacentral:rRNA from 1 species
CGUGUAGGUGGUUAAUAAAGUUGGGUGUGAAAUCCCUCGGCUCAACCGAGGAAGUGCACUCAAAACUAAUUAGCUUGAGAGUGGUAGAGGAAGGUGGAAUUCCUAGUGUAGAGGUGAAAUUCGUAGAUAUUAGGAGGAAUACCGGAGGCGAAGGCGGCCUUCUGGACCAUUUCUGACACUGAGACGCGAAAGCGUGGGUAGCAAACA